GAUGAACGCUGGCGGCGUGCCUAACACAUGCAAGUCGAGCGAACGGAUGAGGCUUUUGCUUGUCUGAUGUUAGCGGCGGUCGGGUGAGUCCUAUGUGUAUAACUUACCUUUGGGACUGGUAUCCUUACGGGAAACCUGAGCUUACAUCGGAUAAUAUUUUGAAUCGCAUGGUUCUAAGGUCAAAGCCGUUCUUGCUGUGACUUAUUGGUGCAUCCGGGCUGCUUUAGCUAGUUGGUACGGUAACGGCUUACCAAGGCGACGAUGCGUAGCCGACCCGAGAGGGUGAUCGGGCACACUGGAACUGAGACACGGUCCAGACUCCGACGGGAGGCAGCAGUAGGGAAUCUUCCGCAAUGGGCGAAAGCCUGAUGGAGCGACGCCGCGUGAGUGAUGAAGGUCUUCGGAUGGUAAAACUCUGUUAGUAGGGAGGAACGGAAGUAUAAUUAACUGUGCACAUCUUGACGGUACCUAAAGAAGAAGCCACGGCUAACUACGUG
rnacentral:rRNA from 1 species